GCUUCCUCACCAGGGACCUCAACAACCGUGCUCAAACAUCAUCCCUGAGGUACCUCAUGUUGCUCAGAAACAACCCAGAGCCAAGAAAGCUGAGAAGGUUGUCCUUAUUUAGUGUCUGAAGACUAAAACAGGGGCAGAGCUGACCAUGUAGCUAACGAUGGGAAGUGCUUAAUUGUAAGUCAACAAUGGGAUGUGACUAAUGAAGACAAAAGGGUUGCAGAACUGAAAAGUCACUGAGUGCACUGUAUGGCUGACAGCAACUCCUGUCAGUCCUUGUAACCCCAAGCCUACAACCACCUUUUUGGGCUUCCACUUCCCUUCCUGGUAGCACAGCAAGAAUUUCCAAAUCAUCCAUGGUAGGACCUUGCAAAGCCGCAGCUCCCACCACGCAGUUUCAAGCUGGUAGCACACACCAUCUCUGAGACUCAACCUCUGCUUGCUCCACAGCAUGUCAAAGAGUUGUAUUGGGAUGUCCCCUAAGCAAGGACAGCAAUUCUAUCACUUCUUUCCAAGAAAGGACUUCUACAUCUUCUACACACUGUUAACUGCAACACAGGAGUGAGUCAGUGCUAUACAAUGCAAGAAUAAACACAAUAACAGCAAAUAAGAGUCUCUGGCAUGUCACUGCUGUGAUAUGCACACCUCUGGCAUCCAGGAAGGACCAGUGGCAAUCCCUUGGGUCUCCUGAGUAACAACUAGCAAUGAAGCAAUGGUCGGACUGUUUACUAGAUGUUAAGACAGAUUGUGGAAUGUUUUAUUGUUACACUACCACUUCUGGAAGGUACCAAGAGUACCUGAAAGCACUAUAACCUGGUAAUUCAACAGCCAUAACAAACUAUGGAGCUCCUUGCCUGAUUUUCUAAAUGCCUGGUUGACUCAUCAGUCCACUGGGGAGAAUAAGGGAGCAGAGAAGGGAGUUGAAUGUCUAAUUAAACUGAUGGAAGGUUAUGUACUCAGCUCUGCAGAGUUCCCUUAGGUGAUAAAAGCAAGGAAAGAGGUGCUUUGUUUGUAACCUCAAGAACAUGGAAGGGCUUCUUGCUGUGGAGAUCUGUAAAUCUCAUCACGUUAAUGUUUUAUCUCAUAACAAAAAUGGAGGCAUGGUAGAGACAGACUUGAGGAGUGACCUCAUGCCUAGCACAGCUUGUUAUUUUAAAUGUCAGUCUCUUGGGGGAGGUUCCCGUGCCAACAUUUUUCUUCAGGGGUUAGAUGUUAUGAAUGUGGGUGAACACACACCCAACCUGUAACUCAGUCAACCUUCCACCUUCAUAAAACAGAGCAAAAAGCUUAUGAAAAUGCACUCAGAAGUAGAGCACACAGCUGGGAAACAGCAAGAAGUGAAUUUUACUUAAAACUGGAUAAAAAAAAAUUAGUUUCUGCAUUUUGAUGCAGCAUGCCACACCUAGAAGAUUAAACAGCAAUACUAUCAUUUAUACCUAUUUAUUCAAGGCAGGGAUCUGACCUUUCCAGGCUCGUUUGUUUUGGCAAAGUUUGCUCAUGCUACUCAUGACUGCUCAUAUUCAUAAGACGUGCAAGAUUGGAACAUCAAAUAAUUGCUGAUAACAUAAAGAAAGUGUGAUAGGAGGAACAAUACUGUUUCUUACUAUGUGAUUAUGGCUUUUUUUCUUCGACUCUGAGAAAUAACUUCAAUUAUUGGAUCACUUUCCUGUCAGUGUAAGUUUUUUCAU